GAGCUUCCCAUACGGGUUGAAGCAUGACCGUAAGGACAUGUGGACAGUAUGGGAGUGAGAAUGUUGGCAUGAGUAGCGAGAUGUGGGUGAGAAUCCCACAGGCCGUAAACCCAAGGUUUCCAGGGGACGGUUCGUCCGCCCUGGGUUAGUCGGGACCUAAGCUGAGGCCGAAAGGCGUAGGUGAUGGACAACAGGUUGAUAUUCCUGUACUACCGAUAACCGUUUGAGAGA
rnacentral:rRNA from 1 species